rnacentral:lncRNA from 1 species
CAGCCAAACCAUAUCACCAGGAGAAAAGAAAAGAAAAAAAUGAUGCUUGAGAAGAAAGAGAGAGCAAGAAAGCGAGAGAGAAUGGUAGAGAUGGAGGUAUUGAAAAGAUAAGAGAAGAUGGGAUUCAGAACUCAAGAAGGGGAGUCAAUUCAAUGUGAAAAUGGACUGAAAAGUGGAAAUUACAGUCAUGUUUAUAAUUGGCAGUUUUCAGGUUUUACAGAUGAAGGGCUGGCUCAAGUGACUA